GAUGAAUGCUGGCGGCGCGCCUAACACAUGCAAGUCGAGCGGAAAGGCCCUUCGGGGUACUCGAGCGGCGGACGGCUGAGUAACGCGUGGGAACAUGCCCCAAAGUGAGGAAUAACUGCCCGAAAGGGUAGCUAAUGCCGCAUAUGAUCUUCGGAUUAAAGGAUUUAUCCGCUUUGGGAGUGGCCCGCGUACGAUUAGGUAGUUGGUGAGGUAAAGGCUCACCAAGCCUACGAUCGUUAACUGGUCUGAGAGGAUGAUCAGUCAGACUGGAACUGAGACACGGUCCAGACUCCUACGGGAGGCAGCAGUGAGGAAUCUUCCACAAUGGGCGAAAGCCUGAUGGAGCGACGCCGCGUGCAGGAUGAAGGCCUUCGGGUUGUAAACUGCUUUUAUAAGUGAAGAAUAUGACGGUAACUUAUGAAUAAGCACCGGCUAACUACGUGCCAGCAGCCGCCGUA
rnacentral:rRNA from 1 species